GGACUCACCAGUGACCACUGAUCACUGACCAUGCGCGAAGCCGUCAAAGAUGAGGGUUUGGGCCCGUCACAGGUGACCUUGGCCAGUGUAGUGUUACACUCUCCAGAGAUAUAUAUCUGAGUUGUGAAGUUACUGGUUUUACAUGUCUGAGUGUGUUUACUGCAUUUAGGCGGUCUGAUGUGUUUUGGUUUUUAUAAGAUCUCGCUGAUUUGGUUUCAUUUCAGUUAGGUAGAAACAGUGAUAAAAUUAUUCCUAAGCAAAAUUGUACCGUCGCUCUACAUCAAGAUCGUCCUGCUUUCCGCGACCAAACAAGAUCAAGUUUCUUCUUGUGUUUCAAGUUUCAAUAAAACUGAAUUGGAGAUUGAUGUUCCCAAGUACUGUGAUAAGAAUUGAGAUAGGUGAAGUGCAGGAAACCAAGGAGGUAUCGCUUACUAAUAAUUAGCUCUUCAACGGAACCUGGUGCUUAUAUAUUGGCAUGGUACAAUAGAUAAUAAUCAAGAUUCAAUAAUGAGAGUAUAGAAGAUACCUUGCUGCACAACCAUAUUCUGGUGUAUUAUAAAAUUUAAAUUAUAAUGUGUUUCGUGACAGGAGAGUUAUUUGUACCCAUCAUUCACGUGGUUGAAUAUGCUCUUCAGUUAUUCUUUUAGUCCUGGGUUUAAACAUAGUGACAGGAAUGUAAAUGCAAUGGAUGAAAUCGUGUAUUUAACAUUGUUAAUUCAUGUGCCAUUGGCUCAUAACUAUGUUUAAUAGUUUUUA